CCAGACUCCUACGGGAGGCAGCAGUAGGGAAUUUUGCGCAAUGGGGGAAACCCUGACGCAGCAACACCGCGUGAAUGUUAAGCCCUUCGGGGUGUAAAGUUCUGUCAAUAGGGACGAAUUUUGACUGUACCUAUAAAGGAAGCACCGGCUAACUCCGUGCCGGCAGCCGCGGUAAUACGUAGGGAGCGAGCGUUGUCCGGAAUUACUGGGUGUAAGGGGAGCGUAGGCGGGAUAUCAAGUUGAAUGUGAAAUCUACCGGCUCAACUGGUAGGCUGCGUUCAAAACUGAUAUUCUUGAGUGAAGUAGAGGUUGGCGGAAUUCCUAGUGUAGCGGUGAAAUGCGUAGAUAUUAGGAGGAACACCAGUGGCGAAGGCGGUCAACUGGGCUUUUACUGACGCUGAGGCUCGAAAGCGUGGGGAGCAAACAGGAUUAGAUACCCUUGUAGUG
rnacentral:rRNA from 1 species